rnacentral:rRNA from 1 species
AACAGGAUUAGAUACCCUGGUAGUCCACGCCCUAAACGAUGGAUACUAGGCGUAAGAGGUAUCGACCCCUCUUGUGCCGCAGCCAACGCAUUAAGUAUCCCGCCUGGGGAGUACGGCCGCAAGGUUGAAACUCAAAUGAAUUGACGGGGACCCGCACAAGCGGUGGAGCAUGUGGAUUAAUUCGAUACUAACCGAAGAACCUUACCCAGGUUUGACAUCGAUCGUAAGCUCUAGAGAUAGGGCCCUCCCCCACAAGGGGACGUGAAGACACUUGUUGCAUGGCUGUCGUCAGCUCGUGCCGUGAGGUGUACGGUUAAGUCCGCCAACGAGCGCAACCCUCGUCCUGUGUUACCAGCGAGUAAAGUCGGGAACUCACAGGAGACCGCCGGUGUAAGCCGGAGGAAGGUGAGGAUGACGUCAAGUCAGCAUGGCAGUUACGCCUGGGGCUUCACACAUGCUACAAUGGGCGAAACAAAGGGCAGCAAAACCGUGAGGUAGAGCCAAUCCCAAAAAUACGCCCCCAGUUCAGAUUGCAGUCUGCAACUCGACUGCAUGAAGGCGGAAUCGCUAGUAAACGCAGGUCAGCUAUACUGCGUUGAAUACGUUCCCGGGUCUUGUACACACCGCCCGUCAAGUCACCUGAAUUGUCUUCACCCGAAGUCCGUGGCCCAACCGUAAGGAGGGAGCGGCCGAAGGUGAGGGGGGUAAGGGGGACUAAGUCGUAACAAGGUAACCGUA